rnacentral:rRNA from 1 species
UACGGAGGGUGCGAGCGUUAAUCGGAAUUACUGGGCGUAAAGCGCACGCAGGCGGUUUGUUAAGCUAGAUGUGAAAGCCCCGGGCUCAACCUGGGAUGGUCAUUUAGAACUGGCAGACUAGAGUCUUGGAGAGGGGAGUGGAAUCCCGGGUGUAGCGGUGAAAUGCGUAGAUAUCUGGAGGAACAUCAGUGGCGAAGGCGACUCCCUGGCCAAAGACUGACGCUCAUGUGCGAAAGUGUGGGUAGCGAACAGG